UCAGAGCUGUGGGUCUUGGGGCUCAGGGCCUGGUACACAGUAGGAGGUCAUUAAACAUCCCACGCUGGUCAGUUACAGCCUCCUACGUCCCAGCUGUGUGUUCCUCGUGAAAAGAAUAAUGAUCAGCAGCACAAGUUCUAUGAGGGCAGAACCAUGUCUGUCUCCAGAGCCUGGCACAAGGCCUGACACCUAAAGAGCACCCAAAGAACAUCUGUGCCAUCAAUGAAUGAAUGAAUGAAGCAAUGGUUCCAUCUUGCUCUUGUCUGGGCCCCAGAGCCUGGUAUUCAGAAAAUGUCAUUUCAACAGAGAACUAACUGGAUGUGGCUGCGGCAGCCCUGAAGAGCCCAUAGAAGAAAAGUUUGAAUUCCCCAGAAUCAGCCCAUUCUUGCAUUAAUUUCAAAACACAGUUGAGUGACUACUGUGUGUGCCAGGCACUGGUGGUGGUGAUACGGCAGUAAGCAAGAGAGACAGUAAAAAAUACAGACAAGCAAA